GGGCAGUUUAUACCAUAAGCCAAAAGAAGGAAUAUAUAAAGGAGACAAAUCCCUACCUCUUACAAAUAAAACUGAAAGGAAACCAUUCCUAUAGUUAGGCAUAAGAAAAAUAAAAAAAAAAGCAAAAAAGGAGGGUUGCUCCUAAUAGAGUUUAACCUUUCAAAAUAGUGAUUGUGUUAAAAGAAUUAGACACAUCAAAGGAAAAAGCCAGCUUGGCUCAAAUAUGAAGAGGCUUUUCUUUGACCGGAUUCUGAAGUUUGGGCUCCCGUUUUCCUCAUUCUUCAUUGUGGCUAUUAUCCUCCUUGGUAAGUUUAUAGUCUCGGUGAAGAACUCUUUUUUUUUUUUUUUUCUACCUUGCUCAGCAUAAUUGACUAAAAGAUCUGUAGUAGAGUUUCCUUCCCUGAAGAUAUGGUUGAAUUGAAAAGAUCCUUCAGCUAGCAAAGAAUGAAUGUCGUUGAUCUCUUUCAUGACGUUCCAAGAAAUAGUAGUGACUUUGUUAAGCAUAUUAAUCACAAUCAUGGAAUCAGAAUCAAUAGUAAUAGUAUUGAAUCCAUGAUCGAUACACCAUCUCAAACCAAUUUCGAUCGCUCUAACCUCAACCAAGUUAUUAAAAGAGUAUCUAAAGUAAGUUGUGAUUGUCAUGAUCAAAUGACCCAAGUGAUUUCUUAAAAUUUCUCCACCACCGGCGCUGUCAGGAUUAUCUUUGGAGGAUCCGUCAACAUUAAGCUUCAAGUCACUAAGAUUUGGCUUACUCCACCUGACAAGGAUAAUAUUAUUAGCUUAGGCUUGAUAUUAUCCACUAUAAGAAAAAAUUUACCAAAGUUAGAGGGAGUUUUUAAAGAGGGAAACUGAGAAGCAAGAAUCAAUUGAUCAAUAAGGUAAGUAGUCAUGCGAAUGAUACUACUACCAAGAUUUGGUGUCCUCAUAUUUGUAUGUGCAUUUAUAUUUUCAUAUUUCCCAUCAAAUCACAGAAGGAAGACACUCAAUAACCAACUUAUGCAAUUUGUUAGGAGAUUUAAUAAGCCAUCUUCUUAUAAAUUAGUGUGGAUGCCAUCGGAAAUAUAUGUGCCAACAACCCCAAUGAUUUAAAAAAAAAAAAAUUCCAAACUUUCUCGGGGUUUUGAACUGUAGGUGAUAAAAUAGUUUUAAAAUGAGGUGUAGGUGACACAAGUAUUGAGUGGAGGUUCCAAUUACGUAAUUAUGGAUUAAGAAAGUUUGGAAAAUUUCAAAAUAAUCUACAAGUUUUUAAAUUACACUUUGAUCCAAAUGUUAGUUAAUAUAACGAAAAACAAAGGAAAAAAGACGCAUUUUUCUCUCUUCUUAUCCGUUGUUGUUUUCUCUCUCUUCGCGAUAUUUGUUGUUCAUUGCUGUUGCUGCUUUAUUCAUCAUCUUCUGAUUCAUUAUCAUCAUCUUAUACUUCAUUAUCAUCUUCAUAUUCUUUUUACUGACCAUUGUUGUUGUUGUUGUUACCGUAACUGCUGCUCUUUGACUAAUUUCUUAGGUCAAAUUUUGUUUUGUACAUCACUUUCAACUUCGGCAUUUACUUGAGAGGAGACUUUGGUAAGUCAAAUUGUGAUUUUUAGUUGAAUUUGUCAUCUGGGUAACUGCUAGUGUGCUGUUUUUUUAACAAUAGCUAGCACGCGAAUAUGAAUGCAACAUAAGAGCAAUCUAUUUAAACAGAUCCACUAUCUGUGGCAUCAGAUAAAUAUUCUAUUGCAACAAAAGACUCAUGUUGCAUUCAUGUUUAUGGUUCUAGGUUUCCGUAAUAUGAAUUGAAUAGAUGGAUAUUCUGUUGCAAUAGAUUAGUAAUAUGUUCAAACAAACAAUUAAUUUGUUGCACCAGAUAAGUAAUCUGUUUCAACAGAUAAAUAAUCUGUUUCGAACAACACAAUACAUCUCUUGUCACAAACCCAACAGAUAACUCAUAUGUUGAUCUUUUGCUAUUGAUACUGGAUUCGAAUUAUUCCUUAAUUAUAGACAUGCCGUUUAUUGAGAAGAAGAAAUAGACAGCAUGGAAAUUAAAUAAGAAUUAAAAUGUCAAAGUGGAUUAAACAUAAAUUUUUUAUUAAAUAAAAAAAAUAAAAAUACAUAGGUAAAAGAAAAAUAUAAUCUUAAUUAUUAUCAUCAUCAUUAUCAUUAUUAUUUGUAUGGCCAAUCGGACACUCUUCAACCAGCAACAACAGUACCCUCCUCAGCCUGCGGAUCUCCCGCAGCAUCCUUACUCUAACGGCGGCCAACUCCCACUAUAGGUCAUGAACCUCCUUCUGCAAUUUUCGCAUGAUGUCUCAUAAAAUAGCGAUAUCCCAUGCUGGAUCAACCAUAUCUAGAACACCCAUAAAUUGACAAAACACUUAAAAACAAGUAAAGAAAAGAAAGAAUUCAAAUGUAAUACAACAUAUAUUUACACAAAAAGCAAGAAAAAAACUUACCAGAGACAGGGAAAAACUAUCAAGUCCUCGAAGAGAAAGUAGUUGAAGGUGUAACAAAAGCAAGAAAUAAAUAUAGUGUAGUAGAAUGAACGAUUGAGUAAGGAGGGACCUAUUUAUAGAGGAUUGAACUUGAAUGUGUUAGGCAAAAUGUCGCAACUGUUCACCUCCAUUUAUUAAUGACAUUUUUCAUUACUGUGAAAAGUUAAUGUCAAAAUAUAGUGCAUUUAUGGCAACAGAUUGUAUAUCCGUUGCGUCAAAUAACACAUAUGUUGCAAUAGAUAUACCAUCUGUUGCAACAAAUCGAUCAUCCAUUUUAGAAGUUUUUUUUUCUAACGGCAGAUUCAUCAGUCGCAACAGAUGGGGAAUUUGAUGCAUCAACAACAUUGUUUGUUUGUUUAAUGUGUUUAGACAAAAAGUCACGGUCACGACUGUUCACCAUUUUUUUAACAAACAAACAAUCAUCAUAUAACUUAAUUAAUCCAAUGUUGUGAUUUUUUAAUUAAAUAAUCUUUCUUUUACGGUUAUAAAUUGUGUAUAUCAUUUAGUUCCUUAUUAUUUAUUUACGAACCAUUUUUCAUAUUAAAUAAUAGGACAAUCAUGACUUUUCACCACCCUCUCACCAAUAACCCCUUUUAUAUUAAUAACCGCCUGUUGCAACAUAUGAUCCAUCUGUCGCAUCAGAUUAAACUCUGUUACCAUAAAUGCUCAAUCCCUACCUCUAAUCGUCAACAUGUUGAGAAUAUGAAAUAAAUAGAAUCAAUGAUAAUUAAAUAUUAAAUAAGAAUUAAAAAUUCAAAGUCGACCAAACCAAACAUAGAUUUUUGAAUCCCUUAGGUAGAUCUAAUAUAAAAAAGGAAAAUACAUACGCUAAAAGAAUAAAACAUAACAUAAUUAUUACUACUACUACUACUAUUAUUAUUAUUAUUAUUUUUAUUAUUGUUAUUACUAUUAUUAUUGUCAACCGAACAAUUUUUAUUCGGCAGCAGCAGGGUCCCCCUCAGCUUUGUUCCGAAGUCGGCCAAAUCCCUCUGGAGUUCAUCAAACUGCCUUUGAAGUUUCCGUAAGAACUCAAUAUGGAUAUUCUUGUAUGAAUCUGGAUCAGCUAUAUUUGUAUUGUAAGUGUAGUAGAAUGAACGAGUGAGAGUGAGUGAUAUGUAAGGAGGCUAGAGAGACCUAUUUAUAAAUGAUUGAAUUGGAAGGGGUUAGUCAAAUAAAAAGCCACGACUGUUCAUAUCCCUUAAUUAAAUAAAAUUGGUGACUUUUCG
rnacentral:lncRNA from 1 species